rnacentral:rRNA from 1 species
CAGUAGCCGCGGUAAUACGAAGGGUGCAAGCGUUACUCGGAAUUACUGGGCGUAAAGCGUGCGUAGGUGGUGGUUUAAGUCCGUUGUGAAAGCCCUGGGCUCAACCUGGGAAUUGCAGUGGAUACUGGGUCACUAGAGUGUGGUAGAGGAUAGUGGAAUUUCCGGUGUAGCAGUGAAAUGCGUAGAGAUCGGGAGGAACAUCAGUGGCGAAGGCGGCCAUCUGGGACAACACUGACGCUGAGGCACGAAAGCGUGGGGAGCAAACAGGAUUAGAUACCCCGGUAGUCCCUGUCUCUUAUAC